ACGGGUGUAGCUCAGUUGGUAGAGCAUCGGUCUCCAAAACCGAGUGUCGGGCGUUCGAGUCGCUCCUCCCGUGCAA
rnacentral:tRNA from 4 species